rnacentral:rRNA from 1 species
ACGAACGCUGGCGGCGUGCUUAACACAUGCAAGUCGCACGGAAAGGCCCUGCUUUUGUGGGGUGCUCGAGUGGCGAACGGGUGAGUAACACGUGAGUAACCUGCCCUUGACUUUGGGAUAACUUCAGGAAACUGGGGCUAAUACCGGAUAGGAGCUCCUGCUGCAUGGUGGGGGUUGGAAAGUUUCGGCGGUUGGGGAUGGACUCGCGGCUUAUCAGCUUGUUGGUGGGGUAGUGGCUUACCAAGGCUUUGACGGGUAGCCGGCCUGAGAGGGUGACCGGCCACAUUGGGACUGAGAUACGGCCCAGACUCCUACGGGAGGCAGCAGUGGGGAAUAUUGCACAAUGGGCGGAAGCCUGAUGCAGCAACGCCGCGUGCGGGAGGACGGCCUUCGGGUUGUAAACCGCUUUCGCCUGUGACGAAGCGUGAGUGACGGUAAUGGGUAAAGAAGCACCGGCUAACUACGU